GUGCAGCAGGCGCGAAAACUUUACAAUGUGCGAAAGCACGGUAAGGGAACUCUGAGUGCCUCCUAAGGAGGCUGUUCUGAUGUCUAAAAAGCAACAGAAGUAAGGGCUGGGUAAGACCGGUGCCAGCCGCCGCGGUAACACCGGCAGCCCAAGUGGUAGCCACGUUUAUUGGGUCUAAAGCGUUCGUAGCCGGCCAGGUAAGUUCCUUGGUAAAUUUAGCCGCUUAACGGUUAAGCUUUCAGGGAAUACUGCUUGGCUUGGGACUGGGAGAGGUCAGAGGUACUCCGGGGGUAGGGUGAAAUCUAUUAAUCCCUGGGGGACCACCGGUAGCGAAGGCGUCUGACCAGACCAGGUCCGACGGUGAGGGACGAAGGCUAGGGGCGCGAACCGGAUUAGAUACCCCGGUAGU
rnacentral:rRNA from 1 species